UGGGGAAUCUUCCGCAAUGGACGAAAGUCUGACGGAGCAACGCCGCGUGAGUGAAGAAGGUUUUCGGAUCGUAAAACUCUGUCUUUUGGGGCGAACGUGAGUAUGGUGAACAAUCAUAGUCAGUGACGGUACCAAAGGAGGAAGCCACGGCUAACUACGUGCCAGCAGCCGCGGUAAUACGUAGGUGGCAAGCGUUGUCCGGAAUUAUUGGGCGUAAAGAGCGCGUAGGCGGGAUAGUCAGUCUGUUGUAAAGUGCGGGGCUCAACCCCGUGAUGGCAAUGGAAACAGCUAUUCUUGAGUGCAGGAGAGGAAAGGUGGAAUUCCCAGUGUAGCGGUGAAAUGCGUAGAUAUUGGGAGGAACACCAGUGGCGAAGGCGACUUUCUGGACUGUGUCUGACGCUGAGGCGCGAAAGCCAGGGGGAGCGAACGGGAUUAGAUACCCCGGUAGUCCUGGCCGUAAACGAUGGGUACUAGGUGUGGGAGGUAUCGACCCCCUUCCGUGCCGGAGUUAACGCAAUAAGUACCCCCGCCUGGGGAGUACGGUCGCAAGACUGAAACUCAAAGGAAUUGACGGGGUCAUAGCUGUUUCCUG
rnacentral:rRNA from 1 species